GAGGAGGAAGAGGAGGAGGAGGAAGAGGAGGAGGGAGGAGGGUAGGAAGAGGAGAAGGAGAAAAGGAGGAGAUAAGUCAAGAGAUCACUGGAAAAUACGACGACGGUGCGAAGAGGAAGACGAUGACGAUCAAGCGGAGAAUACCAGCGCAUAAAUAACAUUUAUAGGAAGCUCUUAACGUCAGUAUUGACCUAGAAAAGUGGCAUAGACUAAUAAGGGGCACUGUUCUUCAGCAGACAAACGGAAUGAUAAAAUCAACGAGCUGUAAUAAAACAAAUGUUAUCGUUAGCUGUGUGUAUCAGACUGUCUACCACACACAACCUUUUACAUCGUAUCUAGAAGAAGCCUGACAAAUCCGUUUUUGUCGUAAUCCCUUGGUUUGAUAUCGACGGAGAGACAUGUGUACUAUACAACAGACAUUUAUCAUCGACCAGUGGUUGACUACCGAAAUAACAUAUACAUGUUCACAUGCUAUACAAAGUACAGAUAUCGACCUGUCGACUCCUGUUGCAUGUCAUUUAUAUGAUUACUGUUUACGCGGUAUUACCAAUAUAUCGAAUCAAACAGGACGUAUUUUCAUGGUUGUCACGGUUUAUCGUUUAAUCCGUAUUUGUUGUUGUUGUU